rnacentral:rRNA from 1 species
CAACCUGAGAGUUUGAUCCUGGCUCAGAGCGAACGCUGGCGGCAGGCCUAACACAUGCAAGUCGAACGGACCCUUCGGGGUUAGUGGCGGACGGGUGAGUAACACGUGGGCAACCUGCCUUGUAGUGGGGGAUAGCCCUCCGAAAGGAGGAUUAAUACCGCAUAUUGUCACAUUGAGGCAUCUCAAAGUGAUGAAAGGAGUAAUCCGCUAUGAGAUGGACCCGCGGCGCAUUAGCUAGUUGGUGAGGUAACGGCUCACCAAGGCCACGAUGCGUAGCCGACCUGAGAGGGUGAUCGGCCACAUUGGGACUGAGACACGGCCCAAACUCCUACGGGAGGCAGCAGUGGGGAAUCUU